rnacentral:rRNA from 1 species
UACGGAGGGAGCUAGCGUUGUUCGGAAUUACUGGGCGUAAAGCGCACGUAGGCGGCUUUGUAAGUUAGAGGUGAAAGCCCGGGGCUCAACUCCGGAACUGCCUUUAAGACUGCAUCGCUUGAAUCCAGGAGAGGUGAGUGGAAUUCCGAGUGUAGAGGUGAAAUUCGUAGAUAUUCGGCGGAACACCAGUGGCGAAGGCGACUCACUGGCCCGAUACUGACGCUGAGGCGCGAAAGCGUGGGGAGCAAACAGG